rnacentral:lncRNA from 1 species
UUUUGUUUUUCAGUUGCUCACUGCCUAGAGAAGUUGGUUAUUACUUGGCAACCCCAAACUUGAACCUUUAUUAGUACAUCAUCAAAUGUUCUCAACUUAACUCAAGGUAAAGAUUUUUCAAAAAGGUUUUCUAAAACAUGCAUAAGGUUUGAGGUUCAAAGGUUAGAACAACUUGUUCUCUUUUCAGUGGGCAAAAAUUAUGUGAACGCUAAAAGAGCAAGGGAUAACAAAAGAUGGCCUUG